AAUAGAUACCCGGGUAGUCCACGCCGUAAACGUUGGCGCUAGAUGUGGGGACCAUUCCACGGUUUCCGUGUCGCAGCUAACGCAUUAAGCGCCCCGCCUGGGGAGUACGGCCGCAAGGCUAAAACUCAAAGGAAUUGACGGGGGCCCGCACAAGCGGCGGAGCAUGCGGAUUAAUUCGAUGCAACGCGAAGAACCUUACCAAGGCUUGACAUAUACGAGAACGCUCUAGAAAUAGAGAACUCUUUGGACACUCGUAUACAGGUGGUGCAUGGUUGUCGUCAGCUCGUGUCGUGAGAUGUUGGGUUAAGUCCCGCAACGAGCGCAACCCUCGUUCUAUGUUGCCAGCGGUUCGGCCGGGAACUCAUAGGAGACUGCCGGGGUCAACUCGGAGGAAGGUGGGGAUGACGUCAAAUCAUCAUGCCCCUUAUGUCUUGGGCUUCACGCAUGCUACAAUGGCCGGUACAAAGGGCUGCAAUACCGUAAGGUGGAGCGAAUCCCAAAAAGCCGGUCUCAGUUCGGAUUGAGGUCUGCAACUCGACCU
rnacentral:rRNA from 1 species